rnacentral:rRNA from 1 species
UACGGAGGGGGCUAGCGUUGUUCGGAAUUACUGGGCGUAAAGCGCACGCAGGCGGUCUUUUAAGUUUGACGUGAAAGCUCCCGGCUUAACUGGGAGAGGUCGUUGAAGACUGGAAGACUUGAGGCAAUGAGAGGGGUGUAGAAUUCCCGGUGUAGUGGUGGAAUGCGUAGAUAUCGGGGGGAAUACCAGUGGCGAAAGCGGCACCCUAGCGUUAGCCUGACGCUCAUGUGCGAAAGCGUGGGGAGCGAACGGG